rnacentral:rRNA from 1 species
GACGAACGCUGGCGGCGUGCUUAACACAUGCAAGUCGAACGGAAAGGCCCUGCUUUUGUGGGGUGCUCGAGUGGCGAACGGGUGAGUAACACGUGAGUAACCUGCCCUUGACUUUGGGAUAACUUCAGGAAACUGGGGCUAAUACCGGAUAGGAGCUCCUGCUGCAUGGUGGGGGUUGGAAAGUUUCGGCGGUUGGGGAUGGACUCGCGGCUUAUCAGCUUGUUGGUGGGGUAGUGGCUUACCAAGGCUUUGACGGGUAGCCGGCCUGAGAGGGUGACCGGCCACAUUGGGCCUGCGAUACGGCCCAGACGCCUACGGGAGGCAGCAGUCGGGAGUAUUGCACAAUGGGCGGAAGCCUGAUGCAGCAACGCCGCGUGCGGGAUGACGGCCUUCGGGUUGUAAACCGCUUUCGCCUGUGACGAAGCGUGAGUGACGGUAAUGGGUAAAGAAGCACCGGCUAACUACGUG